CGAGUUGGCUGGGCGGCCGCGGACCCGAGGGUCCGAGGAAAGUCCGGACUUCACAGAGCAGGGUGAUUGCUAACGGCAAUCCGAGGUGACUCGCGGGAAAGUGCCACAGAAAACAGACCGCCACCAACGGUGGUAAGGGUGAAACGGUGCGGUAAGCGCGCACCAGCAUUCCGGGUGACCGGGAUGGCUAGGCAAACCCCACCCGAAGCAAGGCCAAGAGGUCGCACCUGGUGCGGCUGCGCAGGCGCUCGAGGGUUGCUCGCCCGAGCCUGCGGGUAGGCCGCUCGAGGCACCCGGUGACGGUGUGCCCAGAUGGAUGGUCGCCGCCUCAUCGCCGUGGUAGUUCGCGGCGGUGAGGAACAGAAUCCGGCUUAUAGGCCAACUCGUUCG
rnacentral:RNase_P_RNA from 2 species